AUUUAGAUAGUUUAAAAAAAAAUAUUGAUUUGUGGUAUCAAUGAUAUAAUUUGAUUAUUCUAAAUU
rnacentral:tRNA from 1 species